UUCCUACGGGGCGCAGCAGUGGGGGAUAUUGCACAAUGGGGGGAACCCUGAUGCAGCGACGCCGCGUGGGUGAAGGAGUGCUUCGGCAUGUAAAGCCCUAUCGGCAGGGAAGAAGCAAGACGGUACCUGACUAAGAAGCCCCGGCUAACUACGUGCCAGCAGCCGCGGUAAUACGUAGGGGGCAAGGGUUAUCCGGAUUUACUGGGUGUAAAGGGGGCGCAGACGGCAGAGAAAGCCAGGAGUGAAAGGCCGGGGCGCAACACCGGGGCU
rnacentral:rRNA from 1 species